rnacentral:piRNA from 1 species
UGUCGAAUUAUUGACAAAAAU